rnacentral:rRNA from 1 species
AACGAACGCUGGCGGCAGGCCUAACACAUGCAAGUCGAGCGAGGACUUCGGUUCUAGCGGCGGACGGGUGAGUAACGCGUGGGAAUGUGCCCUUCUCUAUGGAAUAGCCCUGGGAAACUGGGAGUAAUACCGUAUACGCCCUUUUGGGGAAAGAUUUAUCGGAGAAGGAUCAGCCCGCGUUGGAUUAGGUAGUUGGUGGGGUAAUGGCCUACCAAGCCGACGAUCCAUAGCUGGUUUGAGAGGAUGAUCAGCCACACUGGGACUGAGACACGGCCCAGACUCCUACGGGAGGCAGCAGUGGGGAAUCUUAGACAAUGGGGGCAACCCUGAUCUAGCCAUGCCGCGUGAGUGAUGAAGGCCUUAGGGUUGUAAAGCUCUUUCAGCUGGGAAGAUAAUGACGGUACCAGCAGAAGAAGCCCCGGCUAACUCCGUG